GGCGAGAUAGCUCAGGCGGUUAGAGCGUCGGAUUCAUAACCCGGAGGUCGGGAGUUCAAGUCUCCCUCUCGCUA
rnacentral:tRNA from 2 species